GAGAGUGUGUUUGGGGAGGGCAGGUAGCAGGAAGGCUGGCGCCAGCCAGGGAACGGUGACUCCUCCCGGCCUGAGAUUUGGCUGUGACAUUCCGGGUUCCCCCAGGGCCCCUGAGGUCCGUAUCUCCAGCCCUAGCCUGACAACUCAAG